CAGGAUUUGGAGGGCCUGUAUGAUGCACAUCCCAAGGACGAGACUACUACACAGGCGCUAUGCGAGAAUUAGGUCCGAACAAUAGGUACUAAUCCGGAUGGCAGCAUGCACUUGUUUCGAAGUGCUGACCAUUACAUAGCCGCACAAGGCGUGGGAGAUACUCGUGGGGAAGAGGGUCGUGAUGGAGUAUAAUCUAGGCUGGCAACCCGUAGGAUUCAGCGCCAAUAAAUUUAGAUGACAGACCGGGAAGCUAAUAAGGAGCAGGAACUAUGUGCAUUUAUGGGACAACUAGGCAUAUGUACCGGCUCAUACAAAGGAGGAUAUAUAGGAAGCCUUGAUGGUGGACUUUUACAUCCCGCCAAGUUACAAUUUAGAAAAAGUAAAACGGGAUCCAUUCUGGGAUAUGGGUGUGAAGCUCAAGAAUUGGAAACACAUCGCAAAAAAAGACCUGGGCAUUCGGCAGGGCGAUACUCCUGAGACAGUACGAGCAAGAGUAGGGGAAAGAAAACUCUCCAACUACCACCCAGAGGACUUGGCUUCGUUGUUGGAUAAAUGGUGUGAUGAUGAGUAUCAAGAGUAUGCUAAUCAUAUGAAGCAAUUAUAAGCAUUGCAAAAUACUCCUCAUUGCACGGGAACCAAAAGUUUUGCAAGGUUGUCACAUGAAGAAGCUGUCAAGAAUGACACUUCUCCGACGCGAGCAAAAGAGUAUAAAAACUUAAACGAGGAAGGAUGGAAGGUAUCCAAAUGACAUAGUGAAGGAGAGAUGUG